rnacentral:rRNA from 1 species
UACGGGGGGGUGCGAGCGUUGUCCGGAAUCACUGGGCGUAAAGGGCGCGUAGGUGGUUUGAUAAGGGUGUGGUGAAAGUCCGGGGCUCAACCCCGGAUCUGCCGUGCCGACUGUCAAACUCGAGGACUGUAGAGGCAGACGGAAUUCCGGGUGUAGCGGUGAAAUGCGUAGAUAUCAGGAGGAACACCUGUGGUGUAGACGGCUUUCUGGACCAUAGCUGACGCUGAGACACGAAAGCGUGGGUAGCAAACAGG